GAGAUCACAAUGCUUGGACCAAGAUGAUAGCAGCAGAUAUACUGAGAAGUGAGCAUGUGCUGUAUAUAUUUUAAAACUGAUACCAACAGGAUAUCCUGAUGAGUGGAUGUUCACUAUGAAAGAAGAAGGGCAUGAAGGAAGAUACCAAGGUUUUGACUUAAACAACUAAGAAGAUGGAUUUACUAUUAAGAUGCAAAAGGUCAAAAGAAAAACUUGUUUGGAUAUGGAUUAACAGGAACUGUAAAUGUUCUGAGAAUGGACCCCGUUCUGAGGAUGGAUUCCCAUUUGGAAGAAGAGAGGAGAGAGUGUUCUGCGCUCACUGCACUGAAAGUACGUUUGGUUCACAGAAAUACAGAGAAAAAUAGAAGUUCAGUGGAAAACAAAAAAGAGACUUCAUGAAUCUUGAUUCUGACAGAAAGGUGGAGUGACUAUCCUUGGCCAUCAACCCAAACAUCUUUAUCCAAAAGAGAGACAACAAUAAGUCUGUGACCCGGAGGAGAGUCCUCACCUGACCAUGCUGACACCCUGAUAGGCUUCCAGUCUCCGGAAGUGAUCUCCAGUGUAGUGCUGAAUAGAAGCAAUGGAAAUAGCCAUUCUUGUCAUGUUCCUGAUUUUUCCAGUGGUCCAUCACAAAUGUCGUCUGCACUGGGGUCUUCAUUCUCCAUUCAACAGGGAAGUUAACACCCAAGGAACAACUCUGAACCUAUACUUCUCCCUUCCUAUGGAGUGCCUUCAGCUCACCUCCUCAAUGAACCACUUUCACCCAAAUCCUUUUCUCACCAUCUUUUUUGUGGGAACAUAAAACUAAGAGAGACAGAGACAGAGAGAGGAAGAGACACAGGCAGAGGGAGAAGCAGGCUCCAUGCAGGGAACCCGACUUGAUCCAGGAUCUCCAGGAUCAUGCCCUGGGCUGAAGGCGGCGCUACACCGCUGAGCCACCUGAACUGCCCCCAAAAGAAUUAACUUUAAUUGCAACAGACUAUGUAGAAGUUCAAGCCUAAGAGUUCUAGGGUCUGGAAUUCCAAGAUAGAAUGCCAGCAUGGUAAGGUUCUGAUGACCACUCUCUUCCUAGCUUGCAGACAGCCAUCUUCUCACUGUAUGUUCAAAUGACCUCUGUGCAUGCCCUUGGAGAGGCCUAGAGGAGUUAAAAGGCAGAAUGUGAAAGCCAAAGAGAACAAAAACAAGCUCAUUUCUAAUGAAGACUUUGAUUCAAGUUUUUACUUUUGGAAGCUUCAAGUUCAGUGACCUAAAAAUACAUGGAAAGAUGAUUACAAACAAAUGCUUCAUGAAUAAUAAUUCAGUGGCAAAGAAACAAAGCAAAAAACCCACAACUACAGGGGGGUUCAUAGACUCGACUCCCAAUCAGUACAGGAAUGAAGAAUAUUAUAAUUAAUAAUGAUGAACUUUCUGGAAGCCUUGAGCUUGGAGUCAAUUUUGAAGGAAGGGCUGGCCAAUUGGUCAUCCAACUUUGCUCUAUAGUUUAUUAUGAGUAAAAGUCUGACGCACUAAUGAAAAAAUGGUUGAAGGCAAAAGACAUGAAGAGAAAUCUCACAGAGGAAGACAUAGACAUGGCCAACAUGCACAUGAGAAAAUGCUCUGCAUCACCUGCCAUCAGGGAGAUACAAAUCAAACCCA